UUACUUUUCUAGUCCCAGUUGUUAUGGAGGUGGGUGCUUCAAAGCUCGACAGUCGCUACGGAUGCGUCUUUCUCUUAUUUUGAAGCAAGACAGGAAACAGUGGUGGAGUUGUUGUCUGGUUGUAUUACAGAAACACUGUACGUAAAACCAGCUGACAGUAAAAGUAGAAGAACUCUAUCACCGUUAAAUCAUUCAGGUUCGGAGGAUUUUUGUAAAACGUACAAAAAAAGAAACAGUGUCAGAAACGAGGACAAGCUAGGAGAGAUUUGUUAAGCGCUGUGCGAAAAGAGCAACUGGCUAACCGUUAGCUGCCAAACACGCUGACGUUAGCAUCUCUUUCGGGUCUUCGGAAGCUAAAGCUAAGUUGGGAGUCGGCUGAGACACUUUCGCUCAACUCUUUCAAGCCGAGCCAGAAAAGCUUUCAUCCACGGCCCACGGCGUCUGUCAAUAGUGGAUAAACAAGGCUUAGGACAAACAUCUGCUGACUGCAGGGGUAAGGGAGGUCAGAUGUGAAGCUGAACCCAGCCGCUGGUCACCGACUGCAGCCAAAGGAAGUGCUGGUCAAGAGAUGGGAAACAAGAGCCGAGCCAAGCCUCAGCGGGGAAAACAUGGGGUUUCUACACUGUGAAAACGCAAGGCACACAAAACUACCUCAGUUUGUCCAAAACAGAUGGCUGGGUGAGCGUUUCAUGAGUAAUUAUUGGGCAGGCCUCCUUAAUCAUCUGCAAUAAAAUUAAAAACUGAGCAAAAAAUUCAGGGAACCAGACAUUCGAGCGUGCUGUGUUGUGGUCUUCGGUC